UACGAGUGCCUCAAGCGUUAUCCGGAAUCAUUGGGCGUAAAGGUUGUGUAGGUGGUUGUAUUAGUCUUCUGUUAAAUUCUUCGGCUUAACCGGGGGCAUGCAGGGGAAACGGUACAACUAGAGGAUGCGAGGGGUCUGUGGAAUUCAUAGUGUAGCGGUGAAAUGCGUAGAUAUCAGGAGGAACACCUGUGGCGAAAGCGGCUCACUGGACCACAACUGACGCUGAGGCGCGAAAGCUAGGGGAGCAAACAGG
rnacentral:rRNA from 1 species